AGAGGGGGCAAGCGUUAUUCGGAAUUAUUGGGCGUAAAGGGCGCGUAGGCGGCUUGGCAAGUGGAAGGUGAAAUCCCUCGGCUUAACCGAGGAACUGCCCUCCAAACUGCUUGGCUUGAGACCGGGAGAGGUGAGUGGAAUUCCCAGUGUAGCGGUGAAAUGCGUAGAUAUUGGGAGGAACACCAGUGGCGAAGGCGGCUCACUGGACCGGUACUGACGCUGAUGCGCGAAAGCGUGGGGAGCAAACGGGAUUAGAUACCCCGGUAGUCCACGCCGUAAACGAUGAGUGCUUGGUGUAGCGGGUAUCGACCCCUGCUGUGCCGAAGUCAACACAUUAAGCACUCCGCCUGGGGAGUACGGUCGCAAGGCUG
rnacentral:rRNA from 1 species